GAAAAAUAGAAAAUUGUGUGAUUAAGUGAAUGGAUGAAACGGUAGCCUUACUGGAUAUCCUAGGAGAUGGUGGACGGACCGGGUACAAUAGAGAACUUUACUGUGAAUGUUAUCUCACACCAGACGGGGUAUCGAGACUUGGUAAUUUGGUGUUCAUACUGGACGGGGCAUAGGGACGGCCCAUUUCACCCUCAUACUGGACGGGUAUUGAGGUUUAGUAAUUUGGUGCUCAUACUGGAUGAGAUAUG
rnacentral:lncRNA from 1 species